UUACGGCCAUAUCACAUUGAAACCCCUGUUCUCGUACGAUCAUCGAUGUUAAGCAAUAUUGAGUCUGAUCAUUACCUAGAUGAGUGACCGUUUGAGAAUACCAGGAGCUGUAA